rnacentral:rRNA from 1 species
GACAGAGGCCACAAGCGUUAGGCGGAAUCACUGGGCUUAAAGCGUGUGUAGGCGGAGGCGUAAGUGUCUUGUGAAAUCCCCCGGCUCAACCGGGGAACCGCUGGGCAUACUGCGUCUCUUGGGCCAAUCAGGGGCAGCCGGAACAAACGGUGGAGCGGUGAAAUGCGUAGAUAUCGUUUGGAACGCCGACGGCGAAAGCAGGCUGCUGGGAUUGUGCCGACGCUGAGACACGAAAGCCAGGGGAGCGAACGGG